AAGGAAUUGGGUCUAAUCUCUUCC
rnacentral:miRNA from 1 species